rnacentral:rRNA from 1 species
UGAGUACGAGAUGCUACGGCAUCGAAGCAGUCUAUGUCAUACUUCCAAGAAAAGCUUGCACUGUCAGAAACAGAUAAUGCCUGUACCAUAACCGACACAGGUGGGUAGGUAGAGUAUACUAAGGGGCGCGAGAUAACUCUCUCUAAGGAACUCGGCAAAAUGACUCCGUAACUUCGGGAGAAGGAGUGCCUUAUUUUUAAGGUUGCAAUAACAAGAUCCAAGCAACUGUUUACCAAAAACACAGGUCUCCGCUAAGUCGUAAGACGAUGUAUGGGGGCUGACGCCUGCCCAGUGCCAGAAGGUUAAAGAAGUCGGUUAGCAUUCGCGAAGCUGGUAACUGAAGCCCUGGUGAACGGCGGCCGUAACGAUAACGGUCCUAAGGUAGCGAAAUUCCUUGUCGGGUAAGUUCCGACCCGCACGAAAGGCGUAAUGAUUUGGAUACUGUCUCGGAGAGGGGCUCGGUGAAAUAGACUUGUCUGUGAAGAUGCGGACUACCUGCACCUGGACAGAAAGACCCUAUGAAGCUUUACUGUAACUUGAAAUUGAAAUUGGACUUUAUUUGCGCAGUAUAGGUGGGAGGCGUUGAAAAUAUUCUUGCGGGAAUAUUGGAGCCAUCAGUGAGAUACCACUCUUGUAAUGUUAGAUUUCUAACUUUAUAUCAUUAUCUGGUUAAAGAACAGUUUCAGGCGGGCAGUUUGACUGGGGCGGUCGCCUCCCAAAUGGUAACGGAGGCGCACAAAGGUUUCCUCUGAACGGGUAGAAAUCGUAUCUAGAGUGUAAAGGCACAAGGAAGCUUGACUGUGAGACCUACAAGUCGAGCAGGGACGAAAGUCGGUCUUAGUGAUCUGACGGUGCUGAGUGGAAAGGCCGUCACUCAACGGAUAAAAGUUACUCUAAGGAUAACAGGCUGAUCUCCCCCAAGAGUUCACAUCGACGGGGAGGUUUGGCACCUCGAUGUCGGCUCAUCGCAUCCUGGGGCGGUAGUACGUCCCAAGGGUUGGGCUGUUCGCCCAUGAAAGCGGUACGCGAGCUGGGUUCAGAACGUCGUGAGACAGUUCGGUCCAUAUCCGGUGUAGGCGUUAGAAUAUUGAGAGGAGCCUUCUUUAGUACGAGAGGACCGAGAAGGACAUACCUCUGGUGUACCAGUUAUCGUGCCAACGGUAAACGCUGGGUAGCUAUGUAUGGAGUGGAUGACCGCUGAAAGCAUCUAAGUGGGAAGCCCACCUCAAGAUAAGUAUUCUCAUC